CAUGCAAUAAGGCUUUUCAUUGGGCGGCUAGCGUGUUUCAACUGCAAGCUGCCUUUUGAAGGGCAUAGUUGCUAG
rnacentral:pre_miRNA from 1 species